rnacentral:pre_miRNA from 1 species
AGGAGGUGGUCGAGGGAAUCUGAGAAGGUGCACAAGGUUUGUGUCCAAUAUGCUUCACACCUUGCGCUACUCAGGUCCUCUUGUGCCCUCCC